rnacentral:rRNA from 1 species
UACGUAGGCAGCGAGCGUUGUUCGGAAUUACUGGGCGUAAAGAGUGUGUAGGCGGUGUUCCCAGUCUGUUGUGAAAUCUCCCGGCUUAACUGGGAGGGUGCAGCGGAAACUAGAAUGCUAGAGGGUGGGAGAGGUAAGCGGAAUUCCUGGUGUAGCGGUGAAAUGCGUAGAUAUCAGGAGGAACACCCGUGGCGAAAGCGGCUCUCUGGGACGGUACUGACGCUGAGACGCGAAAGCGUGGGGAGCAAACAGG